UGAAAGUCCGGAGGCGCGCCGGAGGUCUUUUGAACUCUUCCGGCCACCGUCGCAGGGUCCUUUCCGCCGCUUCUUCUUCUGCGCCUGCGCACGGCUGGAACGCCGUCCAUUUCAUUAUCAGUUAGGAAGGACGUUAGGUUUGAGGUUGGUGUAGAGAAUAACUACCAUGACUUCCAGUGCUUUGACGAAACCUCAGAUGCGAGGCCUUCUGGCCAAGCGUCUGCGAUUUCACGUUGUUGGAGCCUUCGUUGUAUCCCUGGGGGUUGCAGCUUUCUAUAAGUUUGCUGUGGCCGAACCAAGAAAGAAUGCAUAUGCAGAUUUCUACAGAAACUACGAUUCCUUGAAAGAUUUUGAGGAGAUGAGGAGGGCUGGUAUCUUUCAGAGUGCAAAGUGAUUUUGGAAUGUAAAGAAUUUCUUUGGGUUGAGUUCAGUUGAAGUUUGUCACUGACCUGUGUUCCUGAACUAUGAAGCAUGAAUAUUGGGUUAUGGAAUUGUCUUGAUAAAUAAACAACUAACACAUACUUUGGA